CCUACGGGAGGCAGCAGUGGGGAAUUUUGGACAAUGGACGCAAGCCUGAUCCAGCCAUGCCGCGUGCGGGAAGAAGGCCUUCGGGUUGUAAACCGCUUUUGUCAGGGAAGAAAAGGUUCUGGUUAAUACCUGGGACUCAUGACGGUACCUGAAGAAUAAGCACCGGCUAACUACGUGCCAGCAGCCGCGGUAAUACGUAGGGUGCAAGCGUUAAUCGGAAUUACUGGGCGUAAAGCGUGCGCAGGCGGUUAUGCAAGACAGAGGUGAAAUCCCCGGGCUCAACCUGGGAACUGCCUUUGUGACUGCAUAGCUAGAGUACGGUAGAGGGGGAUGGAAUUCCGCGUGUAGCAGUGAAAUGCGUAGAUAUGCGGAGGAACACCGAUGGCGAAGGCAAUCCCCUGGACCUGUACUGACGCUCAUGCACGAAAGCGUGGGGAGCAAACAGGAUUAGAUACCCUGGUAGUCCACGCCCUAAACGAUGUCAACUGGUUGUUGGGAGGGUUUCUUCUCAGUAACGUAGCUAACGCGUGAAGUUGACCGCCUGGGGAGUACGGCCGCAAGGUUGAAACUCAAAUGAAUUGNGNGNGAGAGNGCGAGACGACGACGAGGGAGAGG
rnacentral:rRNA from 1 species